UAAAUACCAAUGGGGUGCUAGAUGUCAUCCACAAAUCACAGCCUAGGGAGGACCUCAUCUGUGAAUCCUCUAUUGUGCUUUCAUAAAAGGUUGGUUAAUGAACAGUAACAGAGAAGGUUUUCUUCUGGACACAGAGCAUCAAGAGUUGGCAUCUUCAAGACAGAGACACCUUUUUGUUCAUCUGUUGUGGAUGCAGGCGAACCCAGUGGGAAGAAGUGACGAUGUCUGACUCAGUUCAGAAGGCUGAAUAAUUUCUUUAUUAUAAUUAUGGUAAAAUACAUUAAUAUACGAUAUAAAAGUAGGAUACUAAAAACUACAUACU
rnacentral:lncRNA from 1 species